UACGUAGGGUGCAAGCGUUAAUCGGAAUUACUGGGCGUAAAGCGUGCGCAGGCGGUUGUGCAAGACAGAUGUGAAAUCCCCGGGCUUAACCUGGGAAUUGCAUUUGUGACUGCACGGCUAGAGUGUGUCAGAGGGGGGUAGAAUUCCACGUGUAGCAGUGAAAUGCGUAGAGAUGUGGAGGAAUACCGAUGGCGAAGGCAGCCCCCUGGGAUAACACUGACGCUCAUGCACGAAGGCGUGGGGAGCAAACAGG
rnacentral:rRNA from 1 species